rnacentral:rRNA from 1 species
CGAACGCUGGCGGCGUGCCUAAUACAUGCAAGUCGAACGAGAGCAACCGGUGCUUGCACUGGUCAAUCUAGUGGCGAACGGGUGAGUAACACGUGGGUAACCUGCCCAUCAGAGGGGGAUAACAUCCGGAAACGGAUGCUAAAACCGCAUAGGUCUUCGAACCGCAUGGUUUGAAGAGGAAAAGAGGCGCAAGCUUCUGCUGAUGGAUGGACCCGCGGUGCAUUAGCUAGUUGGUGAGGUAACGGCUCACCAAGGCCGUGAUGCAUAGCCGACCUGAGAGGGUGAUCGGCCACAUUGGGACUGAGACACGGCCCAAACUCCUACGGGAGGCAGCAGUAGGGAAUCUUCCGCAAUGGACGCAAGUCUGACGGAGCAACGCCGCGUGAGUGAAGAAGGUUUUCGGAUCGUAAAACUCUGUUGUUAGAGAAGAACAAGUGCUAGAGUAACUGUUAGCGCCUUGACGGUAUCUAACCAGAAAGCCACGGCUAACUACGUG